rnacentral:rRNA from 1 species
GAUGAACGCUGGCGGCGUGCUUAACACAUGCAAGUCGAACGGAAAGGCCCUGAUCUUGUGGGGUGCUUGAGUGGCGAACGGGUGUGUAUCACGCGAGUAACCUGUCCCUGACUUUGGGAUAACUUUAGGAAGCUGGGGAUAAUAUCGGAUAGGAGCUCCUGCUGCACGGUGGGGGUUGGAAAGUUUCGGCGGUUGGGGCUGGACUCGCGGCUUAUCAGCUUGAUGGUGGGGUAGUGGCUUACCAAGGCUUUGACGGGUAGCCGGCCUGAGAGGUUGGCCGGCGUCAUUGCGACUAAGGUACGGCCCAGACGCCUACGGUAGGCAGCAGUGGAGAGUAUUGCGCAGUGAGCGGAAGCCUGAUACGGCGGCGCCGCGUGCGGGAUGACGUCCUUCGAGUUGUGAACCGCUUUCUCCUGUAACGAGGCGUGAGUGACGGUAAUGGGUAAGGAAGCACCGGCUAACUACGUG